CCAGUCAACAGCUGCAACCCGGUAGGUUAUCUUACUCAGCUGUGGAAGCUUUGUUCUCUCAGUCUUCUCAGUAAAUCUUGCUGCUGCUGACUUUUGGGGUCCGUGCUGCGUAUGAGAGCUGUAACACUCACUGCGAAGGUCUGCAGCUUCACUCGUGAAGUCAGUGAGACCACAAACCCACCAGAAGGAAGAAACUCCGGGCACGUCCAACUGCGGACACACCAUCUUUAAGAACUGUAACACUCGCCGCGAGGGUCUGUGGCUUCAUUCUUGAAGUCAGCGAGACCAAGAACCCAGCAAUUCCAGACACGUAACUAUAUUGUAGCUGCUGGCUCCCAUAUUUGAGAACUGAAGUUUCCACCUCAUUUACCCGUCCACUCUCAAGGCUUUUUCAACCUUGGGCACUCUUCCUGGCAUAAGCAAAGACUGCCGCUAGAAACCACUACAUUUGUAAGAAACAUAAGGCUUCGAGAAGGCCAUACAACUGUACAUGUUUGAAAUUCCUUGUCCAGGAUGUGGUGACAUAAUACACUGAAUCCAUUCAAGAGUCAAUGGUGAUCUCAGUGAUGCUUGUGGUUGGAAUAUUUUUUGUAAUGAAAAUAGUUAGAAUCUGUUGAUUAAGUACCUGUUAAGGUGUGCCUUUAAAUUAAGAAUUAGGAAUGCUGCAUGCAUAAUAUUAUAUUUCUUCAAAUCAGAAAUAAAAUAUCCCAUAUGUAGAACUUGUCUAUAUGAAAAAAAAAUCAGGAAUCACUUAUUAAAAUAUUUCAUGUGGUUUCCAGAGUGGUCCACAAGAUUGCCUCUUGGGAGGGUUCUA
rnacentral:lncRNA from 1 species